ensembl:lncRNA
CUAGAGGGCAGUGUAUGGGGUUAUAUACUAGAGGGCAGUGUAUGGGGUUAUAUACUAGAGAGCAGUGUAUGGGGUUAUAUACUAGAGAGCAGUGUAUGGGGUUAUAUACUAGAGGGCAGUGUAUGGGGUUAUAUACUAGAGGGCAGUGUAUGGGGUUAUAUACUAGAGGGCAGUGUAUGGGGUUAUAUACUAGAGGGCAGUGUAUGGGGUUAUAUACUAGAGAGCAGUGUAUGGGGUUAUAUACUAGAGAGCAGUGUAUGGGGUUAUAUACUAGGUAGCAGUGUAUGGGGUUAUAUACUAGAGAGCAGUGUAUGGGGUUAUAUACUAGAGAGCAGUGUAUGGGGUUAUAUACUAGAGGGCAGUGUAUGGGGUUAUAUACUAGAGAGCAGUGUAU